GAACUUUCUGAAAUGCACUAAUAUAUAUCAUUUUGUGUUUUUUUCUGAUCCAUCUUGCCAACGUUAAUUUAUAUAUCCAAAUCAAGCAAUAUUCCUUAGCUGAUUUUUAUUGAUUGCUUAUUUCUGAAUAACACAUAUUCAAAAGGGAGAAUAUUGAUCUAUGUUGGAUAAACUUGCUCUGCUCCGUAGCGUUAAUCCCGCCACAUAUCCAUGUGUCUGUCCAAAGAUUGACAAUUUGGACUUCAUCAGUGGUUGCAUGUCUAAUGUGACAUCUGAACUGGUUCCCUUUCCUUUAUCUGUUCGGCUCGAUCGAAAACAA
rnacentral:lncRNA from 1 species